GACGAACGCUGGCGGCGUGCUUAACACAUGCAAGUCGAACGAAGAGCGAUGGAAGCUUGCUUCUAUCAAUCUUAGUGGCGAACGGGUGAGUAACGCGUAAUCAACCUGCCCUUCAGAGGGGGACAACAGUUGGAAACGACUGCUAAUACCGCAUACGAUCUAACCUCGGCAUCGAGGAUAGAUGGAAGGUGGCCUCUACAUGUAAGCUAUCACUGAAGGAGGGGAUUGCGUCUGAUUAGCUAGUUGGAGGGGUAACGGCCCACCAAGGCGAUGAUCAGUAGCCGGUCUGAGAGGAUGAACGGCCACAUUGGGACUGAGACACGGCCCAGACUCCUACGGGAGGCAGCAGUGGGGAAUCUUCCGCAAUGGACGAAAGUCUGACGGAGCAACGCCGCGUGAGUGAUGACGGCCUUCGGGUUGUAAAGCUCUGUUAAUCGGGACGAAAGGCCUUCUUGCGAAUAGUGAGAAGGAUUGACGGUACCGGAAUAGAAAGCCACGGCUAACUACGUG
rnacentral:rRNA from 1 species